CCUACGGGAGGCAGCAGUGGGGGAUAUUGCACAAUGGGGGAAACCCUGAUGCAGCGACGCCGCGUGUGGGAAGACGGUCCUCUGGAUUGCAAACCACUGUCAUGUGGGAGCAAAUUAAAAAGAUAGUACCACAAGAGGAAGAGACGGCUAACUCUGUGCCAGCAGCCGCGGUAAUACAGAGGUCUCAAGCGUUGUUCGGAAUCACUGGGCGUAACGCGUGCGUAGGCUGUUUCGUAAGUCGGGUGUGAAAGGCGCGGGCUCAACCCGCGGACGGCACAUGAUACUGCGAGACUAGAGUAAUGGAGGGGGAACCGGAAUUCUCGGUGUAGCAGUGAAAUGCGUAGAUAUCGGGAGGAACACUCGUGGCGAAGGCGGGUUCCUGGACAUUAACUGAUGCUGAGGCACGAAGGCCAGGGGAGCGAAAGGGAUUAGAUACCCUUGUAGUC
rnacentral:rRNA from 1 species